CUUGGUAACUCUGUGUAUCAGUUACUGCUUAAUUAGUAACAUAGAAUCACCAUAAGUAUUAGAGAAUAGGAAGUAUACCUUACCCAAUUGUGAGUGGACCUGGGGAACAAAACAUCCAAAAAGGAUCAGAGAAAAGGCAUUCGCACAGGUGAAUCAGUGUCGGGUAGGUGCAGGGUUGGAGCCUGCAGGAAGCUAGGCAUGUCCAGCCACUGGAGUGGACUGUGAAGAGGCUGGUGUAGAAGUCUAUGAAAGAUUGCUGGCUCUUUGUAGGUAUUGCUUCUGUGAGAUUUCAGUGAAGCAUCUGGUGCUAGGCCUGGAGUGGCUGUUGGACCCCAGUCAGGAGGAAGACCAGGACUUGGGUUGGAGAAAACCAGAAGAGACAGAUGAAGCUCCCUCUUAAGAUGCAUUUGACUCAGAUUGAAUUAUACCACCAGCUUUCCUUGUUCUCCAGCUUGCAGACAGCAGAACUUGGGACUUCUUGCCCUUCACAACUGCAUUUGUCACCAUGGAGCAUGGCUCUGAUCCCACCACUUCCCUGCUCUGGACUCCCCAGGACUUUUGGAUAAAAAUUACACUUGGUGCAGUGAAAUGAUCACACUAUGCGAGACACCUGGAAGCUGAAACCAACUGAGAGAACAUCAGUUUCAGGACACCCAGCUUAUACUCACUCUGCGGAGUUGUGUGAAGCCCUGAGAGUCAACUCCUUUCCUCAAGAUAAGCUGAUUGGGUCUCUGUUCAUUACAGCUGAAAUUAUCGAGACAGACACUGUGUACUGCAAGGAAACAUCAGACGCCAGAAGAGAAAACAGGAGAGCUGCCACGAAAAGGAUGGCAAAUCUGGGCUGCCUUUUGCAACAUCUGUUGGGAGUCGACAAACUGCCUGGUGAUGGGCAGCCUGGAUUAUACUGAUCAGCUGCAGUGCCAGCUCCUGACCAUGGGGAGAUUGGUUUCCAGGUCUGCUGGGCUGGUGCCGAGAACAUAGAAAAUUCUUGGAGCAGGAGAAGGCAAAUAGUUUUGGAUGUGCUUGGCA
rnacentral:lncRNA from 1 species